UCUUACAGAUGAACAAAGAAAGUGGUUUUUUGAGAUGGAGUCAACUCCUGCUGAAGAUGCUAUGAA
rnacentral:pre_miRNA from 1 species